rnacentral:misc_RNA from 1 species
CAACGCGAGAAGAGUGGCUCUCUCUAUCUUUCCCUUUUUUAGGUUGAGAAGUGAACACAAUUGCAGUAUGAGCGGACUGACGCGAUGGUGCGUGAACACCGUCACCCGUGUUUGGGAAAGGACGAAGAGCACUGCCAAUCUCGUCUACAACGUUGGGGAUCAGCUGCGCAUCGUGUACAACACCGCCAACAGCCAGGAUGAGCGCAAGCGCGACUUUGACGCCACAGUGCUGCGAGCCGGCGGCUUCAUAGCCGCGACGGUGCUGUGCGUCAUUGUGGACGCGCAGGGCGGUGUCCCCAACACGCUGCGAUGGCUGCGUGCUCUUGUGACGACGGAGUAUCAAGCUAGUAGCGGUGCUGUGGAUGCUGCAGCUCCCGCGAUGGCCACGCUGUAGUCCGGGGAGAACGACACAAAGGGCGAGGUGUAAAAGAUGUCGCCGUCGCUCUCGAUGAAGGGUUUGGCGGUGGUGGUGGCGAUUCUGUUCGCGGCGCUAUCACCUUGCUCUCCGUCUUCUCGCUCGUGGCCCUCUUCCUGCGCGCUCCUUUCACUCUCUCACUCUUGCAAGCGCCGUCCCUGGCGAUGAGGGUGUGGAGCGCAUGCGCAGCUCCGGUGGAGGAGGUGGGCGAGGAGAGAGCGGAGUGGAGGGCGUUUGGUGUUCUUCUCGCCUGUCCAUUGCGAUGCGAACUGCCCAACUGCCUUGAGACGGCGGCAGUGCUUCGGAGCGUUUCUCUUACACACACACGCACACACAGACACACACAUGUGCGCGCGCAUAGGUGCCUGACGGAUGGCUUUGGAUGAGUACCUCUUCCUGCGCUCGCCGGCACUUCAUUC